rnacentral:rRNA from 1 species
UGGGGAAUAUUGCACAAUGGGCGCAAGCCUGAUGCAGCCAUGCCGCGUGUGUGAAGAAGGCCUUCGGGUUGUAAAGCACUUUCAGCGAGGAGGAAGGUGGUGAGCUUAAUACGCUCAUCAAUUGACGUUACUCGCAGAAGAAGCACCGGCUAACUCCGUGCCAGCAGCCGCGGUAAUACGGGAGGGGCGUCGAAGCGUUAAUCGGAAUUACUGGGCGUAAAGCGCACGCAGGCGGUUUGUUAAGUCAGAUGUGAAAUCCCCGGGCUCAACCUGGGAACUGCAUUUGAAACUGGCAAGCUAGAGUCUCGUAGAGGGGGGUAGAAUUCCAGGUGUAGCGGUGAAAUGCGUAGAGAUCUGGAGGAAUACCGGUGGCGAAGGCGGCCCCCUGGACGAAGACUGACGCUCAGGUGCGAAAGCGUGGGGCAGCAAACAGGAUUAGAUACCCUGGUAGUCCAGCGCUGUAAACGAUGUCGAUUUGGAGGUUGUG